UUGCUUCUAAUAUCUGGCCUUCUCAGAUAUACUGUGCCUGUAUAAGUCAAAGUCAUUCCUAUUUAAUGUUUACCUUUUUCACACAGUAUAAUCAUUUUUUAACUUAAGCCAUGGUAAAAGGCAUGGAGAGUCCAGAGGAGUCCAGUGAAACGUCGGACCUCUCUGAAGAAGAGAUCAGGGAUUAUGCACUGGAAAUAGGAAUUGAUCCGGAGACAGAGCCGGAACUUAUGUGGCUGGCGAAGGAGGCUAGGUUUGCCCGAUUGCCUCCAGGAUGGUUGGAGCGCGAAGAUGACAGUGGGAACACCACCUUUCACAACACCUACUUGCAGAUAGCCUCAAAUGUACACCCUUGCAAAUUGCAAUACCGCAAGCUGGUGGCACAGGAACGCGACCGCAUUCAGCGCACGACUGCUGUUAUAUGCUCAGAAAGCACACAGGGCAGGAAAGAGAAUGGGGAACCUAUUCAUGCAGUGGGUCUAUUUGGCAGUGGGUUCUUGAGUAUAAUAGGCAACAGACAUGAAGAAACAGCAUCUCUGACACUCUUCAGCUUUGAGGAUGAAGAUGAUGGUAUUAUCUCUGAAAAGGAGUCAAUUCCUUGUUCUUCUAACAGUGACAUUGAGAACAUAUCUAUGAACCAGUGGGGUGAACAAUACAAGAAUACGGUGAUAGAGGCCCACGGACAUAUCCGUGGCACUGCAGCUGGCGGUGGCUUACGCGCCAAAUGGUUCCAUGAUGGAGAGGAGUGUACCAAAACACCCACGGGUCUCUUUUGCAGUGGAUUCUUGAGUGUUUUAGGCAGUGGACAGGAUGAAAUUGCUUGUUCACCGUCCAGCUAUUAUGUUGACAAUGACCACACAUAUGAAAAAGAGGAUUCGGGAGGCAGUGAAGUAUAUAUAAUUCAGGAUCAGAGCAGUGAAUUUUCACAGCGACACUUCUCAGUUGAGACACUAGGCAGUUCUGUGGACACUGACAGUCACCUGGAGGUAUUUGUCAAAGAAGAACAAGGCCUCGAUGAAUUUGACAGACUUGGUGAAAAAUGCCAACAGUCAUCUAAAUACGUCCAGACUCCUUUGUCGAGUUCUUUUAGACGUUCAGGAGCUAAAAAGGACAAGCAAGUAAAGAAGCCUAACAAGACGUCUGGUGCUCUCUUUGUCAGUGGCUUCUUCAGUGUUAUAGAACCUGGGGAUGAAGAAGUAGGCUGUUUUACUCAGCCCAACUCUGAUUAUGCAGAAGGCAUUGGCAUCUGUGAAAAGCUAUUGUCAGAGAAUUAUACUACCUGUGACAGUGUGCCGGAGAUGGAUGUGAAAAAAGGAAAGGAUAAGAAACCUGAGUUGACCAAAAGCCAACACAGCCAUGAUAUUGAUGAUACGUGGGACUCUGAGCAGGAUAAAGAGGAAGAGGAAACUGUCAGACCAACAGGACUGCUGGCAAAGUUUCUGUACACCAACAAGUCUGAUGGCUGGGACAGUCAGGAGGACGAGGAUGCCAACACUGUCAAGAGCUCAGUUGAGUAUGCAGACAAAUCUGUUGGUGAAGACACUUAUCGAGUAUAUCAAGUGCAUAAACACACUCAGUGCAAUGGUGCUGUGUUGCACUCGGGAGCAGAACAAGACAAGGACAAAGAGGAGCGUAUUAACAAAACACAGGAGGUGGAUGACAGAGAAGGGAAUGAUGAAGAGAACAAGGCUGCUGAGAGCCCAAAUGAGUCUCGGGGAAAAUCAGAAGACAAUCUGGUGGAUCAGGGGAAUGAACACAUCGAGCACCCUGAUAAUGUACCGGACGAAGAAUCUCUCAACAAAAUGUACAGUAUUAUACAGCAGAUCAUCCUUCUCAUCAUUGAACAAGUUGCACUACAGUCACAGGAUACAACUGACAGUAUUGAAAGUACAUCAGAUGAGACCACUGAGACAGAAACGUCAUCAGACACUACUGAGACAACAGCGCAACAGGAGACAACUAGCACUGAGUUAAGUCCAUUGACCGAGACGACACAGUCACCUGAAAGCCGCAGUACUGAUUUACAAGACCAACAGGCACCAUCAGACUUUGAGUACACAGAGAAUUCUGCUGUCUGUGACAGAAAGCAGAGGAUGGAUGUCAAACAAGAGAAGGCUGCCAAAUGCCAAGACAUCCAGAGCACAGAUGCCGUAUUGGACUUAAUAGACGAACAGAACAGGGACAAAGAAGAAUCUAUCAAUAAACCUAGUUUAAAAGUGCCCUGCAAGAGAAAACAUCUUUCUCCAGACCACAGAGACAGUGACUCAUAUCCUCCAGGAGAAGAAGAAAUGUACAACAAAACUUAUAGUAGAACGGCACAGCAACAGGUACCGUCAAACUAUGUGAACACUGACAAUUACGGUUACCGCGAAUGUCAGCAAGAGAUGGAAGUCAAGGAGGAUGAAGAGGAGGCUGCAAAUAGCCAAGAAUUCAUUGGUGAAGACACCAACAGUUUUCCGGUUGUUGAGGACCAGGAGGAAGAGGAACCUUUAAAAAAACCAAAGCUUUCUGGAGGAUUUAAGGACUCCAACUAUUUUGUUUACUUUGACAGUCAUCUGGCGAUAGAUUUCCACAGACAAGGAAAGGAUGAGGAUGAGGAUUCCAAGGGUACCAAAAGUCAAGAUGAGCCUGGACACGGCUCCUUUUGUAAGGAACCCAUCCAGGGCACGGAUGGUGCUAUGGGCUCAGAAGCCAAACAGGUCAAGGAAGAAGAGAGGCCUUCCAAACAAUUUGGGGAAUUGACCUGUUCUCAUGGCCACAAUACCAAAUCGCCAAAUCAACAGACACAAGUGUUUAUGGACUGCCACACUUGCGUUUGCCCUGACAAUCAGCAUGCAUGCCUUGCAGUCCAUGUCAAAGUGAAGGAUGAGGGGAAUGUGGCUGCCAAGAGCCGUGAUAAAGAGGAGCCAAGUAAAGCACAUGGACGGUUGGGAGAGGUUUUGGAAUCCAGCAAUUCUGCUUCUGAAUCGGAUUCAGAUUGUAAAGAAGAGGAGGAUAAUGACACUGAAACUUCCAAAAGCCAAGAUGAUGAUCACCAAGUGGAUCAGGAGCAUGAACGCAAGCGCGCUGAUGCUGUUGAGGACAUAGAAGCUAAAGACAUGGCCAAAGAGGGGCUUAUCCAAAACCUUGGAGAUCUUUUUAUCAGUGGAUUCUUGAGUGUCAUAAGCACCAGGCAAGAAGAAUCAGUAUCUCAUACUCCACCCAGCCUGGUAAUGCUGUUGAAAAGGUUUUUGGGGCCGUUUUUGGAAUCCAGCAAUUCUGCUUCUGAGUUGGAGUCAGAUGACAAAGACAGGGAGGAUAAUGACACUGAGGCUUCCAAGAGCCAAGAUGACUCAGUAGAGGACCCUUCAAGUGACUAUGGGCAUGAACACUUGAAGUGCAAUGUUGGGAACCUUAAAACCAAACUGGGCAAGGACAAAAAGGAGCCUAUCCAAACGCUUACAGGUUUAAGAGAUCGUGAUGCAGAUCCAACAGAGAUGGCAGGAAUGCAAGAGGUAUUGGGACAAGACGAGGUGGACGAAGAUACAGUGAAAACUCCAAGGUUGUUUGUAGAUAUUCCAGAUUGGAAAACUGGACUGGAAAGGGAUUUUAAAGAUGAAGAUGACGUUGAGAAGGCUCAUACUUCCAAGAGCCUACAUGACUGUGGGCGUUACUUUUCUGGUGAAAUUAUGAGCAGUGUCCAGGUGGAUCAGUUGUUUGAACGCAGUCAGUCUAGUGGGGUCUCUGACGUCAACCAGCACGAGGCUGAGGAACAGCCUAUCAAAACACCCGGAUCACAACCACACUCCAUUAGAGCUCCCACUGUAGCCACUGACGAGUUGCCGAGGUAUCCAUGUCUUCCACCUCUUUUGAUUAAGGUACAGACAGAGCUGUUAUUGCGGCAGGGGAGAAUGCAUUUCUGCCAGGAAGAUCUAAAGAAACAAGAGGAUGGAAAAGAGGAUAAUUUAAACAGAGAGAAGAAGGCAAGAAUGUGUCUGCGCCAGGAAAAGCUACAGAGAGAGGAACAGGAAGAAGAGGAACAGUUAGUAAAGGAAAAGGAGAAAAGAAUAAGUUUGCGCCAGCAGGAGCUAAAGAAAGAAGAGGAGAGGGAAAUGGAGUUGUUAAAAAGGGAAAAAGAGAAGAGAACACAUCUUCUACGGGAAAGGCUGAAGAGAGAGGAAGAGGAAGAGGCGCAGCAGUUAAAGAUGGCGAAGGGAAAUAGAAUCUGUGUCCUCAAGGAGCGGCUGGGUGAAGAAAAAGACGAAAAGUUGAAAAAUGAUCUGAAGCGAAGGACACAAACCCAACAGGACGCGCAAAAGAAAAUGGAGCCGAUGGAGCAAUUAAUGAUGGAAAGGAGGAAUAAAAAACUUUUUGAUGAGAACCUGAGGAGGGAGGAUGGCAGCAAACCAUUGAACACAAAAAUGGAAACCAGAGCACAUCAUAGCCAGGAGGAAGAAGAUAAGGAAGAACAGUUGAAAAGUGACCAAGAGGAACUCAGUACGGAGGAAGAAAAUGAUGCUGAACAAAUAAAAAGGGAAGAAAAGUCAAGAGCACACAUAUUCCAAGAGGAGUUCUCUAGUGACGAAGAAGAGGAGGAUGAGACGUUUAAGAAGGAUAAAGACAUCCAAAGUCGGGAACAGCUCAGCAGUGAGGAAGAGGAGGUGGGACAAUUGAAGGUGGAAAAAGAGAGAAGAACUAGCUGCCGCCUGGAAAAGCUAGGGAGAGAGGAAGAGGAAGAGGUGGCACGGUUAAAGAGAGACAUUUUCAAGAGAAAAAGUUUCCUCCUAGCGGAGCUUUGUGCAGACUUUAAAAAAGAGCUGCAAUUGAGAAUACAAUUCUCCCACGACGAACUGAAAAGGGAGGAAGAGGAGGAGCUAGAGAAAUUGAAGAGGGAAAAGGAAAGAAGAAUGCAUCAACAAAAAGAGAAGCUGUUGAGAGAAGAAGAGGAUGAGGCAGCACAAUUAAAGAAGGAGAAAGAGAGAAGAAUUUGUUGCUGCCGCAAAAUGCUCAGAAGACAUGAAGAGGUAGAAGUGGAGCAACUUAAGCAGGAAAAAGAGACGAGAAUGCAACGCCACCUGCAACAGCUUGACAGAGAGGAGGAGAGUUUCUUGAAGAACGACAAGAACUUGAGAAAAAAUCUCCAAAAGGAGCCGAGCAGGGAGGCAGAAGAGGCUGAGCGAUCAAAGAGGCAAAAAGACCUGACAUGUCUUCGCCAACAAUUACGUCCAAAAAGGGAAGAAGAGGAGGAUGAGCAGUUGAGCAACGCAACUCGAACCCGGCUUUGGCAGGAGGAACUAAGGAGAGAAGAAGAAGAGGAUGAAAGGAGAAACUUUAACUUACCACAAGACAGACUUCUCAGAGAGGAGGAUUUGGAUCAGCUAAAUAAGGAAAAAGACAGGAGAAUGAGGCUUUACAAGGAGACGCUGAGGAGAGAAGAAGAGGAGGAGUUGGAGUUUUUGAAGAGAGAAAGUGUGGCCAAAGUUCAUUGUCACAAGGAAGCACUAAACAGAGAGGAAGAAAAAGAGAUGAAGCAGUUAAAGACAGAAAAGGAAGAAAGAAUACGUGUUUUCCAGGAAGAGUUGAGGAGAGAGGAAGCCAAUGAAAGGGAACGAUUAAAGAGGGUAAGGGAAAGGAAAUUGUCGCCUGGCCGGAAGGAACAUUGCAUAGAGGAAAAAGGAAACAAGGAGUUAACAAGGGAAGAGACAAAAUUGAAGCGCCAAGGAAUGGAUCCGAGAACAGAGGAAGAGGAGGCAAUGCGGUUAAUGAGGGAAGAGAUGCUCUGCCAUGAAGACUGUAGUAGAGAAGAGGAAGAGGAAUUAGAGGUCUUGAAGAUGGAUAUUAUGAGAAGGUGGCUGCAACAAGAGAAGGGGGGAGAAAAGCUCGAGCAGGUUGGUUUUAAGAAGGAGAUUGAGGCAAGAACACAGCUCCUCCAGGACGGGCUAAGUAAAGAGGAUGAGAAUGAGGGGCUGAAAAGCUGCCAAAAGGAACUGAGUUCAGAGGAAGAGGAAAUGGAUGAAGCAAACCAGUUUAAUAAGAAAACAGAAAAAGGCAACUAUCACUGGCCGCAGGAGCUCGAAGGGGAGGAUGAGGAGCAAGUUGAGAUGAAAAAUAGAGAAAAGGUAAUGAGAAGACAAUUCAGUUGGGAGGACCUGAUGAGUGGAGAAGAAGAGAAGGUGGAAGAGUUUAUUGGAGUAAAGGACAAGUUAAUGCAGCAAGAGCUAAGGAUAAAGGAAGAGAGGGAUGUGAACGUUUUAGCUAGGGAAAAGGAAAGAAGAAUUCAUUCUGGCUCAGAAGAGUUGAAGAGAGAAGAAGUGAAGCAGUUAGAGAGGGAACAGAAGAGUAGACUCGGGAUCCACCUGGAAGAGCUGAGAAGAGAAGAAAAAAAUGAGGCAGAUGAAUUAAAGAAAGAAAAGGAAAGGAGAACAUGUCGUCUCCUGGAAGAACUGAGGGAAGAGGAAGAGGAGGAGGCUGAGAGGUUAAAGAAGGACAAAGAAAAGAGAAUGCGCCUCCUCCGAGAGCAGCUGAGGAGAGAAGAAGAGGGAGAGCGAUUGAAUGGAGAAAAUGAAAGAAGAAUACGGCUUCAGCAAGAGGAACUGAUUGGACAGGAAGAGGAGGAGUGGUGUAGGAUGGACAAGGAGGAACAAAUGCGACUUUACCUGGAAAGACUAAGAAAAGAGGAAGAAGAGACAGGAGAGCAAUUGAAGAUUAAAAAGAAGAAGACAAUGCAGAAUUACCAGGAAGAGCUGAAGAGAGAGGAAACGAUGCAGGUGGAACAACUACGUAAGGAAAAAGAGAAGCGAAUAGGUCUUCUCCUGGAGGAGCUUAAGAGACAAGACGAUGAGCAACAGUAUAAACUGGAGAAGGAAAAUAAAUUGCAUGACUGCCAGGAAAUGCUGCUGAAAGAGGAAAAUGAUGCCGUGGACAUCUUUAAGAGAGAGAAAGAGAAGAGAAUUAAUCGCUGUCAGGAGGAAUUCAAGCAAGAGGAAGAGGAGGAAGAAGAGCGGUUGAACAAAGAAAAAGAAAAUAGAAUACGCCUUCUUCAGGAUAAGCUGAAGGAAGAGACAGAGGACUUGAUGGUAAGAUUGAACAAUGAGAAGGAGCACAGGAUGCGUCUUCGACAAAUAGAUCAGAAGGGAGAAAAAGAUGAGAAGAUACUGAAGACUGAAUACAAAGAAAGGCUGAGAGGCAAGAACUCGCACAUGGGAGGAAAAGCCAUGGAGAACGACUUCCGGACUUUUUCAAAGCAAUUCUGGACCACCAUCUGCCGCCUCGAGGAGGGGUGCACUGUCAACACCAUGUAUGGUGGGAACGAUGUGCUGCUGACCUCAACUGGGGAUGUAGUGGAUCGGUGGAAGGAAUACUUUGAAAAUCUCCUCAAUACCACCUACACGUCUUUCAAUGAGGAAGCAGUGCCUGGGGACUGUGGUAGGCUCUUCUAUUUCUGUCCUGUAAGGAGUGCUCAGAGAGUAUUGGGUAUCAGACUGCCAGGCUGUGGCGGUCCUCUCCCUGUAUGAUCAGUGUCAGAGCUUGGUCGACAUUGCCGGCAGUAAACCAGACCCUUUUUCUGUGAGGGUUGGACUCCGCCAGGGCUGCCUUUGUCACCGGUACUGUUUACAACUUUUAUGGAUAGAAUUUGUAGGCGCAGUCAGGGCGUUAAGGGGAUCCGGUUUGGUGGCUGCAGGAUUAGGUUUCUGCUUUUUGCGGAUGAUGUGGCUGGCUUCAUCUGGCUAGGAUCUGCAGCUCUCACUGGAUAGGUUUGCAGCUGAGUGUGAAGCGACUGGGAUGAAAAUCAGCACUUCCAAGUUUGAGUCUAUGGUUCACACCAUCUCAGGGUUGAGGAUGAGAUCCUGCCCCAAGUGGAGGAGUUCAAGUACCUCGGGGUCUUGUUUACAAGUGAGGAAAAAGUGAAUCGUGAGAUCGACAGGCGGUGCGGCAUCUGCAGUGAUGCGGACCAUGCAUCUGUUCGUCGUGGUGAAAAAGGAGCUGAGCCGGAAGGCAAAGUUCUCAAUUUACUGGUCAAUCUACAUUCUUAUCCUCACCUAUGGUCAUUAGCUUUGGGUUAUAACCGAAAGGACAAGAUCACGAGUACCAGCAGCCAAAAUGAGUUGUGUCUGUUCGGUGGCGGGGCUCUCCUUCGAGAUAGGGUGAGAAGGUUUCUCAGAGCAAAACCGCUGUUCCUCCACAUUGAGAGGAGCCAGAUCAGGUAGUUCAGGCAUUUGCUCAGAAUGCCCCCCAGAUGCCUCCCUGGGGAGGUGUGUAGGACACGCCCGAUCGGUAGGAGGCCACAGUAAAGACCCAGGACACAUUGGAGAGACUAUGUCUCCCAGCUGGCCUGGGACGGUCUUGGGAUCCCCCGGGAAGAGAUGGAUCAAGUAGCUGGGGAGAGGGAAGUCUGGGCUUCCAUGCUUAGGCUGCUGUCCUCGCAACCCGACUUCGGCUAUGCGAAAGAAGAUGGAUGGAUGAUGGAUUAUACAGAGUACAUCUUCACUUCACAUGUACAAUUUUGCAUUUCUUUAGCCUUUUUCACAAAUUUUUACACAUUAGGGUAAAAUCAAAAAUCCCAUUACAGUUUUGAUUUCUUUCUUUUUUUAAACACAUAGAAUACAUACGCUAGUGUGCUGUAGCACCUAUGCUAAGUAAAGUUCCUUGAAUGUAAAAAAUAAAUCACAACAUGCUCAUUUCCAGACAAUUUACAUAUGGGUUGCGUUAUUGUCAACGUCAAAACAUUUGGUAUUAAUAGACAUUUUAUUUUGUUUAUAUUUUUACCGACAAAAGGUUAUCGUCAGUUUCCAUGUGCGUAAUGUGCAACAGUAUGCAGCACAAUGUGCAGGUAUUCUUGUAGUUUAGUUGUAGUUUCCAUACCUUCUAUUUUCUGCCACAGGCUUAGGCUCGCCGUAGGCACGCAGAUCAAAAGUGUGUGUCCCAUCUCCCCUUUGGGUUUCAUGUUUUUGUUUACUGUUAAAAAGUCAUCGCCCACUUUCCCUGAAAACAUUUGCAUAGACAAUUUUUACUUUGGAACUAGUUUUAAGGGUCUGAUGAAUACUAAGGCUGUGUAUAUGUACAUCCUGAGGUCUCUGCGACAGUGUAUUCUGGCCAAGAAAAGAGAAGAGGAAGAGCUGUUGAACAAGUUAUCUGGCCGGAAAGAAUUACCUCACUCUGUGCAGAAGGAUCGAGAAGAAAAAGAAAUUAGGCUCAGAGAGGACCGAGAAAAUGUUCUCAGAGAGAUUU